rnacentral:rRNA from 1 species
UACGUAGGUGGCAAGCGUUGUCCGGAAUUAUUGGGCGUAAAGCGCGCGUAGGCGGCUACUUAAGUCGGAUGUGAAAGCCCUUGGCUCAACUGAGGAAGUGCACCCGAAACUGAGUGGCUAGAGUACGAAAGAGGGUCGCGGAAUUCCCGGUGUAGAGGUGAAAUUCGUAGAUAUCGGGAGGAACACCGGUGGCGAAGGCGGCGACCUGGGUCGAUACUGACGCUGAUGCGCGAAAGCGUGGGGAGCAAACAGG